GAUUACGGCCAUACCAACCUGGCUAUGCCCGAUCUCGUCUGCUCUCGGAAGCUAAGCAGGUUUGGGCCUGGUUAGUACUUGGAUGGGAGACCGCCUGGGAAUACCAGGUGCUGUAAGCU
ensembl:rRNA 5S_rRNA 5S ribosomal RNA